rnacentral:rRNA from 1 species
GACGAACGCUGGCGGCGUGCUUAACACAUGCAAGUCGAACGAUGAAGCCCAGCUUGCUGGGUGGAUUAGUGGCGAACGGGUGAGUAACACGUGGGCAACCUGCCCCAAACUCUGGGAUAACUCCUCGAAAGAGGUGCUAAUACCGGAUACGAACUAGACAGACAUCUGUACUAGUUGGAAAGUUUUUCGGUUUGGGAUGGGCCCGCGGCCUAUCAGCUUGUUGGUGAGGUAACGGCUCACCAAGGCUACGACGGGUAACCGGCCUGAGAGGGCGACCGGUCACACUGGGACUGGGACACGGCCCAGACUCCUACGGGAGGCAGCAGUGGGGAAUAUUGCGCAAUGGGCGAAAGCCUGACGCAGCGACGCCGCGUGAGGGAUGAAGGUCUUCGGAUCGUAAAUCUCUUUCAGUAGGGACGAAGCGAAAGUGACGGUACCUAAAGAAGAAGCACCGGCUAACUACGUGCCAGCCGCCGCCGUAA